rnacentral:lncRNA from 1 species
GCCCCCAGGUUUCAGCUCCAGUCAGUUGUUCCCUCUCAGUGGAAGGUCCGGGGGUGAGGUGUGGGGAAACCUUGGGGUUUCCUCUCUUUGCUAGAGCAGAGCUUCUUUGGGUAUCUGAGUCGUCCUUCUGUGGCUGCUCCACUUGGGAAACCAGACGGGCUUUUCCUUCUGUUUGCUCCUACAGGCAGCAGGGAUUCACUUCUGAGAUCUGGGGUGUUGGGAAGAGCUAGAAGGAUGGCUCCCAAGGCACAGGAGCCUUCCCCGGCUGCAUCUUCUCCUUGUCUUCAUUAGGCUCUCAUUAACUGGGAGAUGUAGGGAUGGAGGACUAUGGAUUUUGAAGAAUACAGACAUAGCCUGUCAGAAUUGGUUGAUAUGUUGGUUCAUUCUCCUGAACUACUUUCUCCCUUCUCUAUUUUUUUUUUUUUCUGGUAAAAAAGGAGAGAAGAGGGGAAUAUUUAAAAAUGAAGAUGAUACAAAGACAAAGGAUAUAUCAAUAAAACAUUUUAAAAGUCUGUUGAUUUUCUGAAUUGAUUUGGUUGUUUGGCUGGAAGAGUUGCUGUUUGCUCAGCAAGAACAUGGCACCAGAUACUGAAACAGAUACGGAGGUUAUUUUCAAACUGCAUGUAGACCCCCAAAUGGAACAUCUUCUUUUUCAAUGGAACCCCUUCUAAAACCCACUAGACAGAUUGAGUUUCACUUUUAGCAAGCUCCUGGCCCUGGGUGAAGGCAGAAACUAGCAGCCAUUAGGGCCCCUUCAGUACAAAUCCUGCUCAAAGGUAAGAUUAUUUGUUGUCUACAUUUCUCCUUCCUUCCUUCCCCAAUUCCCAGGAUUACUUAAUGUCUUUUCUCUCCUUUUUUUUCUCUUUGCCUUCCAUCUCUUCUUUUCCCAUGACCUUUCUCUUUCUCUCCUCUUAUCUCCUUCCCUUUUUUCAUCUUAACAUUUAUAAGGGCCUAUUAUGUGCCAGAUACCGUGUAAGGCACGACAGAAGCUGACAUUCUACUGAAGCCGAGAUGCAAAAUCCUUAAAAGUUAGAUCUUUUUCCUGCAUAUAAUCUAUGCAGCAUCCUGUAAGCAUUCAAUAUUUACAGUGAUGAGACAUUUGGUUCAAGAGGCCCAAUUGUCCCUUUUUCAUUUGCCAUCAAAAACAAAUGAAUGAAUGAACAAAUAAAGGCUUCCCCCCAGGGUCCAUAUGUGAAGAUUCUUUCAUGGCUAGGUUGAUUCAGAUGACCCCAGAGGACCCUCCCCGUAAUAUGGAAAGGUUGGACUAAAUGACCUUUAAGGUGCUUUUCAACUCAGGAGCCAUAAUGCUAAACCUCACCUAGUCUCAUUCAAUUAUUCCCCAAUGGGCUGCACUCUUCUGGGCUUCUCCAGUGCCUUUUCUCCCCAGUCCCUACCCCGGCCACCUGUUUUUCGGCUUCCUUUUACAGCUUGUCUUCCCCACUAGAAUGUAACCUCCUUGAGACUUAAAAGAACUGAUGCUGAGUGAAGGGAGCAGAACCAGGAGAUCACUGUGCCC